rnacentral:rRNA from 1 species
UACGGGGGGGGCAAGCGUUGUUCGGAAUUACUGGGCGUAAAGGGCUCGUAGGCGGCCAACUAAGUCAAACGUGAAAUCCCUCAGCUUAACUGGGGAACUGCGUCCGAUACUGGAUGGCUUGGAUUUGGGAGAGGGAUGCGGAAUUCCAGGUGUAGCGGUGAAAUGCGUAGAUAUCUGGAGGAACACCGGUGGCGAAGGCGGCAUCCUGGACCAAUAUUGACGCUGAGGAGCGAAAGCUAGGGGAGCAAACGGG